rnacentral:rRNA from 1 species
GAUGAAUGCUGGCGGCGUGCCUAACACAUGCAAGUCGAGCGAUAAGGCCCUUCGGGGUACAUAAGCGGCGGACGGCUGAGUAACGCGUGGGAACAUACCCCAAAGUGAGGGAUAACUGCCCGAAAGGGCAGCUAAUACCGCAUACAAUCUUAGGAUUAAAGGAGCAAUCCGCUCUGGGAAUGGCCUGCGUACGAUUAGAUAGUUGGUGAGGUAAAGGCUCACCAAGUCGACGAUCGUUAACUGGUUUGAGAGGAUGAUCAGUCAGACUGGAACUGAGACACGGUCCAGACUCCUACGGGAGGCAGCAGUGAGGAAUAUUCCACAAUGGGCGAAAGCCUGAUGGAGCAACGCCGCGUGCAGGAUGAAGGCCCUAGGGUCGUAAACUGCUUUAUAAGUGAAGAAUAUGACGGUAACUUAUGAAUAAGCACCGGCUAACUACGUG